rnacentral:tRNA from 1 species
UCCCUGGUGGUCCAGUGGGUAAGACUUUGCCUUCUGGUGCAAGGGGUGCAGGUUCAAUCCCUGCUUGGGGAA